GGUCUUUAACUCCUGACCUCAAGUGAUCCAUCUGCCUUCGCCUCCCAAAGUGCUGGGAUUACAGGUGUGAGCCACUGUGUCCAGCCUCUUCUGUAUCUUAAACAAGUCUACAUGAAAACUUUUCAUGCAAGAAUAGAAAGAAAAAGUUAUACACUCAGUGAAUAGAUGAGAAAAACUUUGGUAACAGUUGCCAGUUUGCAGUCGAAUUCCAAGUUCUUAUCAACCGUAUUUUUUAGCGCUUGAUGGAGAAGGAGGUCAGGAGCAGGAAAUGUUUCAUUUGUGAGAAGGAUAGAUUUUACCUGGAAUUACAGUCACACAUUACUUAAUGACAGGAAUUCAUUCUGAGAAAUCUGUCGCUAGGGGGUUUUAUUGUUGGGUGAACAUCAUAGCGUAUACUUGCACAAACCUAGAUGUGUAUCCACACCUAGGCUGUAUGAUACAGCCUAUUAUUUCUAGGCUGCAAACCUGUACAGCAUGCUACCAUACAGAGUAUGCUGCCAUGCUGAGUAUGUAGGCAGUUGUAACACAGUGAUAAUUUUUGUGUAUCUAAACAUAGAAAAAGUACAGUAAAAAUACGAUGGUAUAAUCGUAUGGGACUAUCAUUAAGUAUGUGGUCCAUUGUUGACCACAGCAUCAUUUUGUGACUCAUUACAGCUAUUAUUUCUCCAUUUUUAACUUUACUACUACUCACUCUUUCCUGUCUUCGCUCUCCUUUUUUCUUGUCAAUGGCAAUAGCUGCAGUUACUUUUGCACCAACCUACUGUUUUCCAUCCAUCCUUCCAAAAAGGGACAUGUUUUUAUUGCCAUUACUACUAUGAAUUUUUCAAAAUACAUUAGCCCUGCUAAUGACCUUUUGUAUUACUCACAUUAAGAUUGCUAGCAGUGAUUCAUACUUGAAUUUAUUGUUCAGUGAAUUAGGAGUCGAUGAUGCAGUUUGUUAGUCACAACCUCUUUCUCAGUUCUUUGUCUACUUUAGCUUCUUCCUUGUUAGCUUUAUUUAUAAUGGAUGGCAACAGAAAAUAUGGAUGAAAUACUGAAACAUAAAAAGCAACAUCUGAAAAAGAUAUCCUUGAGCCAUUUAUACCACACAUAGAAACCUAGGAGGCACUCUCCUGUCUUACGUAGGAAGUAGGCUUUCAUGCUAGUUAUUUUGCUCUACAUUUUCAAUAACUAUUUUAAAUGUUCUUCUGUAUAACUUAUACAGUUAUACAACAGAGUAUAUAUUUUUCAACAUACAAAAGUCUAUUACAGUAGUCCCCUCCUCAAGUUUGAGGAGGAUCCAUUCCAAGACCCCCAGGGGAUGCCUGAAACCAUCGUUAGUACUAAACCCUAUAGCUUAUGUUUUUUCCUAUACAUACAUACUUGUGAUAAAGUUUAAUUUAUAAAUUAGAUAUUAUAAGAGAUAACAAUUAUAACAAUAGACCAUAAUAAAAUUUAAGUGAAUAUGAUCUCUCUCAAAAUACCUUAUCGUACCAUAACACAGAUGAGGGAGGACCAUUGUAAUGUAAUAUGCCAUGCGAUUAGACUAAAGAACAAAAACCAUGUGAUUGUUUAUGCAGAUACAGAAGAGGCAUUUGACAAAAUCUAGUGCUAUUUCAUGUAAAAGCAAAAUUAAGAAUUGAAGGGAAAUUUCUCAACCUGAUGAAGGGUAUCAAUAGAAAAUCCAUAGCUAACAAUAUACUUGAUGAUUAAAGGCUGAAAGCUUUCCCUCUAAAAUCAGGAACAAGACAAGGAAAUCCAUACUUGCCACUCCUAUUCAGCAUUGUAUUGGAGGUUCUAGCUAGGCUAACUAGAAAAGAAUAAAAAAUAAAAGUUACCCAGUUUGUAAAAGAAGAUGCAAAACUAUCUCUCUUUUUUGGUAAUGUGAUUUAAAUAUAGAAAAUCCUAGGGAGUCCACACAAAUGAAAUUAAAGCUAAUAGACAAGUUCAGCAAGGUUUCAGGGCACAAGGUCAUCAUACAAAAAUUAAUUGUACACUAGCAAUGAAAAAUCUAAAAAUGAAAUUAAGAAAACAGUUCAAUUUGUAAUAGCAUCAAAAACAAUAAAAUACAGAGGAAUAAAUUUAGCAAAGGAAGUACAAGAGUUCACUGAAAAUUAUAAAACAUUUUCUGAAGAAAUUAUAGACCUAAAUAAAUGGAAAGAUGGCCUGUGUUCAUCACUGGCAGACUUAAUGUUAUUAAGUUGACAUAUUCCCCAAAUUAAUCUAUAGAUUCGCCCAACCUCUGUUAAAUCCUUUCUGGCUUUUCCUUUUUCAGAUCUCAAAAUACAUAUGGAAAUGCAAGAGACUCUUAAUAGCCAAAACAAUCUUGAAAAAGAACAAAGUUGGACGCCCCACAGGUCCCAGUUUCAAAACUUACUGCAAAGAAACAGUAAAUAAGAUAUUGUGGCAUUGACAUAAGGAUAGGCACAUAAAUCAGCAAAUUAGGAUUGAUUGUACGGAAAUAAAUCCCCACAUUUGAUAAUCAAAGUUGCCAAGACAAUUCAAUGCGAAAAGAGUAGCCUUCAACAAAUGGUACGGGGACAACUGUAUAUCCACAUGCAAAAGAAUGAAUUUGAUCCCCAUCUCAUACCAUAUUCAGAUAACUCAAUGUAUUAAAAACCUAAAUGUAAAAGCUAAAACUAUAAAACUUCUAGAAGAGGACAUAGGUAAAAUUUUGUACCUUGGAUUAGAUAACAUUUAGUUAGAUAUGACACUUAAAGUACAAGCAACGAGUGAAAACAAUUAAUAGACUUGAUCAAAAUUAAAAAUUUUGAUCUAGCUGGGCAUAGUGGUGUGCACCUGUAGUCCCAGCUACUCAGAAGGCUGAGGCUGGAGGAUUGCUUGAGCCCAGGAGUUCAAGGCUGCAGUGAGCUGUGAUCACACUGCUAUACUCCAUCUUGGGUUACAGUACAAGAGGCUUUCUCU